GUCGCCCGCAGCCAACAUAUCCUUGAUCAUUUCCCCUAGUGGCUACCAAAAAGUGUUUCCUUGUCAUGAACAAUAUCAAGCUUUCCCUAUUUUAUGAUGACCAUUCCAGCAAAGAGUUUGACUGCUGUGGCACCACCUAUCCGGAAGCUGGCCCCUUUUUCUUCCAGUGGCUUGCUGUGUAACCUCAGCCUCCGCCAUGUUGUGUUCGAAGAAAGGAAAGAACAGCACAUCCAAGAAACAUGAAAAUCAUCAGUCGGUGCACACCAUCAUCUGGGCCUUGGUUAGAGAUCCCCAAACAAGCUUGAGGAAGAUGAUGUGAGAUCGUUGAAAC